rnacentral:rRNA from 1 species
AUUGAACGCUAGCGGGAUGCUUUACACAUGCAAGUCGAACGAGUGGCGGACGGGUGAGUAAUAUAUCGGAACGUGCACAGUAGCGGGGGAUAACUACUCGAAAGAGUGGCUAAUAACGCAUACUAUUGGAGCGGCCGAUAUCGGAUUAGCUAGUUGUUGGGGUAAAGGCGCACCAAGGCAACGAUCCGUAGCUGGUUUGAGAGGACGACCAGCCACAAGGGGACGGAGACACGGCCCAGACUCCUACGGGAGGAAGCAGUGGGGAAUAUUGGACAAUGGGGGAAAGCCUGAUGCAGCCAUGCCGCGUGUAUGAGAAGGCCUUCGGGUUGUAAAGUACUUUUGGCAGGGAAGCGGUAUCUGCAGAAUAAGCACCGGCUAACUACGUGCCAGCAGCCGCGGUAAUAC